GGGCCCGCACAAGCAGCGGAGCAUGUGGUUUAAUUCGAAGCAACGCGAAGAACCUUACCUGGGCUUGACAUCCACGGAACCUACUGGAAACAGCAGGGUGCCCUUCGGGGAGCCGUGAGACAGGUGCUGCA
rnacentral:rRNA from 1 species